CAAGGGGAGGUUUUUCAUUGGUUUAGCGGGCGUUGGUUUAGCUGCUUAUUGGUUCUGGACCUGCGCUGGCCUGAGGCCUGGGAGAGUUAAUGUGGACACGGGCACCGUAGCAAAUGCAUAGUACAUGGCACCAACAUUGUACGGUGGAUGCACACAACUGCUUCCAAGCACCUGGGCUCUGAUGGCGGUUGUCUUGUCUGCUAUGCUGUGGGACCUGCUAAGACCUCAUUGUUAUGUCCCACCUGCCAUCUCCCCAGCCUGCCCCUGUGGCCCCCUGGCAGGCUGUCACAGGGCUGGGACAUUGGAAGCUGCCUGCUGGCUGAGACACAGAGAAGGACUUGAUCUGAGGUGCCAGGUGCUCACCUUGCUUCCAGCACCAGAAGGUGCAACUUCUACCAGGUCCCUGGCCCUGGGAUUGGGUCCCGAGGAGCCAUACCCCACUGCUAUGCAGGGGCCUGGUGCUCACCCAGUGCUGUGGCCAGAGUCCAGUGCUGACUGUUGUGUUUUUGCUUGCUGCUGGCAUCCUAUGCAUCUGCUCCUGCCUAAAAUGUCCCAUGGUGUGGCUCUAGCUGCUGCGCUCCACCCCAGAUGUAGCUGCAUCUUAGUGGUAACGCUUCUCUACCUCCCUGAUGGAGAGGCUGCUGGUGGCUUUCACUUAUUGGGGUCCUGGAGCGCCUCUGGCUGGGUGCUGAAUGCCUGAACUCAAUGAGAGACCCAGAUCCCCAUGGCACAGUCAGGAUCAGGCCUGUAACAUGCCCUGAGAGGGGUAGAGAAGGGCAAACUACCUCUUGUAACAUGGGCUGGCUUAAAGGCAUCUGGAAGGGUGUGGAGCUAAGGCCUCUUCCUGUGGUCUUCAACAGAGACAGGGUCAAGUCCCGGAGCCUUUCCCCAAAAUGUUUGUCCCGUCUGUGCUCUUCUUGAGACCUGCAGCCACAUCUGAGCUCUUGCAAGCUGGCAGUGGGAAUGGACUUGUCUCCAAGCACCGCGGACCCAGUGGGACAGGGAUGAAGGAGGUAUCUGUUUAAAUCCGUGGCACUUUGGCUUGGCAGAGACAUGGCUGCUCUUUGGGGCCUGGAGGCUGAAACGAAGCAGACACGGCUGCCCCUGCGGCAACAGGAGGAUGCUUUUAACCCUCUCCUGUGGAUAGCCCAUCUGAAGCCCUCCCAGAAGGGAGCGGUGCCAUUUUAGCUCAGCCGUUAAGCGCAGCAGCCGCGACAGCUGUAACGAGGCCAUCCCUCCCCACCCUCAUUAACCCGGCUGCUUUAUUCCACAUCCAGCUCAAGUUGAGACAUAAAAUCUGCCAGUCUCGAUUCCUAUUCCCUACUCUGAGAGAGAGAGAGAGGGUUACACUGGCUGGCAGCUUCUAUGCCGGGGUCGGGAGGAGUUGAUCCUCAGCUGAUGUAAGUGACCCCUGGACUGGGAGAGAUAAUGGGAUAUAUAUAUAUUUUUAAUUGGACAAGGUAACAUUUUAUGAGACACUUUGUCUUGCAGGGGUGCUAUGGGGUCUCAUAAAGCAGAGUGCGUGGGCUGAGUGUAUUCAUUGAAUGCCGUGUCUCUAGCAGGGGACUGGGAACCGCUAAAUGGGUCCAUUUCUACAGUGCUGCCUAGGGUCCUACUCCAGACACUGCAUUUGGAUGAAAAGCCAUAAGCCAAAUGCACGAUGCUAUCUUUGCAGUCUCUCUGUAUAAGGGGGUUGGUAUGAUGAUUGACAGGGGUCUUGAUACGUAGCAGUUGUUAGCAUGCAGCAGGCCCACUCCACCCCCGUUAUACCAUCUUCUCUUCAUGUUCUAGCUCCACGAUGCUUCCAGCUCCUAUUACUCAUGGCUGUAACAGGCCUACAGAGAGUUAACACGUGACUAAUAUAAAGGUUAUCUCCAUACGAAGCGCCAUGGUAGUCUCCAGAGAGCUCACGGCUGUGACGCAAGGCCAGAACUCUUGGUUUCCAUCCCGUGCAUCACACAUGAUUUCCCUGGGGUUCGGAGCCCUAGGAGGCGGCUGGUGACUCAGGCCUCCUUUUUUGCAGGCUCUUUGUCUUCCAGGUUUAGUUUAAUCAAAAUAAUCCUUUUUCUCCCGGCACCAGGAAAUUGGCUGUGUCUGAGGCCUCUCCCUGCAGGGACCUUGGUUGGCAGCACGACCAGAAUGGAGCAUGUCUGCAUUGCUGUCUGACUCGGAUGACUUUCCCCAGUGAACACCAGCCACGAGAGCACAUUUUUGUCGCCUUUUCUUGUACAGCAAGUUGGACUUGCUCUGGGUUGAUGUCCUUGUCCCACAGAACAUAUCCCAAGGGGCUGUGGCUGGAUUUGAAGCAUCUCCGUGUUGAGCGAGAGGUUUCUACAGCCAGCCAGGAGAGGACCCCUUGUGUGCACACCAUCUGGGGAGGAGACGGCUCCAGUUAUGCUGGUUUCCCAGCAAACACAUUAAGAAGGACCCCAAUGGAGGCAACAAGCUGGGCUGAUGGCAUCAGUGCACACAAAGGCCACUAGCCAGCCCUGAUUCCUGCACCAAGAUAAAAUGUCCAGGGCUUGUGGAGCUGCCCACCGAGCCCCAUGGAAUGAGUGUCCUUCAUGUGCUUAACCCAUGGACAGUUCAGCUCGGAGAUCAGAGAGAGCAUGGGAAGCAGCUGCCGAUUGGAAGUGGAGCCCCUUUUAUUGGACAAGCUGGCCAGCGGAGACAUCUCCAGGGCCACGUGAUGUUGCUCCUGACCUCUAACCGGGGAGCGAAACACGGUGGGAUUGGAAAGGCGCUGCCUCAGGAGGUGUCUCCGCUACACAUUUUUGCUCGGCUGCCUGCAACAGGGAGGGACACGUCCCCGCGGGCGCCGAUAGCUCAGCUAUCACCUCGGUGCGGGUGCAGGCAAUGAAGCCAGGCAGGUUGCAAAAGCAGAUCCCGCUUAGCCAGCAGAGCCGCAGUGGUGGUGGCCAAGUGCUCUGCUAGAUGGAGGCCUGGAGUGGCCGGCCCCCCUGAAGGGAGCAAGCCAAGGGGAAAGCAAGUCUCCAUGGAAAACUCCAGCGCUGGCAGCUUCCACCUGCUCCCCAGCCUGCUAAGCAUCCUGUUUGCCUCGGUAAUUGCACCAGCCCCCAGCUUGGCUCCAAUUCUCCUUAAAGCAGCAGGGGAACAAGGCCAAAUUCGGUCUCGUCUUGGUUUUUCGCGGCACUAAUGGUGUCAAACACCAUUGAAGCUGUCUGCCUCGCCGCCUGCUCUCCGGCAGGGCUGAGUUUGCUGCUGUUGGGAAACAGCAAUCGCUGACUGGAGACCUCGCUCUUCCAAGCAGCCGGCUGCUGAGUUUCCCCUUUUUGUUGCAGCCACGCUGGGGUUUCUGGGCCCGGGCUAUGAACCAAGCCCUAUGAAGAGUCAUGCCUGGGACGGCUUUCUGUAAAGCUCCCACCAGCUGUGUCUCUCAAGGAUGUGAUUGAGCAGAGCUGGACCCAUCUUCUUGGCACUCCCAGCUGGUGUGCCUGAAUCAGGGGAUCUGCAUGGAUAACAAGUGAAUACAUUAUUUAAAUGAGCAGUGGAAGGAAGGUGCUGAGAGCAGCAGCACGUCUAACUGCCUCUGUUCAUUGCAGGUGGCAUGAACCAGCCAGGCAGCAUCUCCCUAAUCUGUUCUUGACAUUUCCAGUGCCUUUCUGAAAGGCUCUGCCCUUUAUCUCCUGGCGGUGCGAAGGAGAGGGCUUGCCAGGGCUCCUGGCUGGAGGAGUUGGGAGAGUUGCAUGGAAGGGACCCUAUUGCCCGAAUGUGCUGGGCGCUGGCACUGGGACAAUUCAGCCCCUUGAAAGUGUCUGUGGGUAGAAGCUGCAGCUUCUGGGCACCCAAAGCAACUGGCUUGUAUCCUGCACGUUCCAGCUUGUGUGCAUCUGAUCGCUGCUCCGUUGUGCCUGGGAUUUUCCUCCUUCCUGCUGUUGGUGAGGGUCUGAGCCAACUCCCACAAGUGGCACAAACUGGCAGAGAGCUCCCUUGCUUUGCCCUGUGCUGAGGAUUGUCCCCUGGGAGUACAGAUGCCCACUUGAAUGCCCAUGGCCUCCCUCCAUCUGCUUCCUGCCUUGCCCUGGCGCUAGGUGCUCAGUAUGUUUCAAACCAGACCAGGUGUGUCUGUGGUGGUCAUAGCCUCACUGUCCCACCUGCCAGGUUUCAGGGACAGCUGCCAGCCUAAUGCUUCAGGGUGGAGGAUGGGCACUGUUUGCAGUGCUGUAUGGCCAGGUGUGCUGGGGGAGAUCCCAGACCUAGGACACCAGGAGGUUGUCAGCCCUCACCCCAAGUCUACUGCUGCUGAACUGGAACUUCCCAAAUCAGACCAGGCUUUGCAGCAGCCCGCAUGACAUGUUUGCACUGGAUUCGUCAGCCUUUCCCCGGGUGUUUCAGGAAAGAAAAGCUGGGGGCAGGGAGGGACUCGAAGCACGUGUUUCUACACCAGUGUAGCUUACUUGAUUCCAGCGUGGCAUUACCUUUGGAAAAGUCAGGAGUACAGCUACGUAUGUGCCAUGUGUCUGCAGCUUAUCCCAGGGUAACUGCUUUGGCUGGAAGCAAAUGUGCUCUCAGCCACCUGGGGCAAGGUGCCCGAAUAGCCGGGUGUCUGUCUACUCCAAAUUUUACCCUGGUGUAGGACACUGGUGUGUCCUGCCCUUUGUUAUACUAGUCCUGAACUAUUUCUCCAGAUGAGCUAGUCGUGUGUCUGCCCAUUGCUAACUGGGUGAAAGAGCUUGGACUUGGACGGCAUUUCCCACUUCUCCCUAUUUGUACCCAGCCUGGUGUAGGCUGGAAAGCCAGCUUGCCCUUCCCAAGCCCCGUGCCAGGAUCAUAAAGUGCCGUCUGGAGCUGAGGCUGCUGCCCUCCUCAGACCUCCAUGGCACUCACCAGUGAUAGCUACCUUUGUGGGCUAAGACUGAGCGCAGGAAGUAUCUGAAGUCCCAGACUAAAGAAUCUGGCAUGGAGGGUGCUUGCCUGUAGUUUUCUGGGGGUAUCCAAAUCCCAAGACCUUCAGGCUUGGGCCUGCAUGUAGGGAUCCUGCUAAUGGAUUUGGGAGUAUCUGAAGCCCCAGAUAGGGGGGAGCGGCUGGGACAGAGGAUGCUCACCGGUUGUUGAGCCAUACCUGGUGUUUAGAGCAAUUGAGUUCUGCCUGCUUAGUCGAUAUGGUUUUUGGAAUGAUUAAGUUCUGCUCAGUUUGGAACUGA